rnacentral:lncRNA from 1 species
AAACCUAAAGCUUUGAUGACUGCUUCCGGGUUUUGAUCUAUUUCUGUGGUUAACAGUAUACCUCAGUAGCAGGCAUCGAAGAGGUAGUGUGCACCUAGGAAAUAAUUCUGUUUUUGCACUGAAAAUAGGAUUUGCCUUUACAGAUAGAAUACAUUUAUAUUUCAAAAAGCAAAGGAAAUUCUGCAAAGGACUCUUCUGCCACAUCCAGACCCGGCUUAUCCAGUCUAUCAUCUUCAGUGACGUCUCUGCCAGUUAUCCUGGAUCGUCAGAUAAAUUCUUCUCUGUGGACAUUUGAAGCACGAGGAGGAAUGCAUGAUUAACUUUUAGAGAUGAGCAGUCUAGAAUACACGAACUGUAGAUUAUUAUGUCUAAAAUAUCUUUUUCUGAAGAGCAGAGGCUGUGGUCAUCGGGAUGAACAAAACUGAGUAAGCAGAUGGGAGCUGCUUCAGGGAGUGUUGGGAGCUCAAGCUGUGUGAGAGGGGCUCAAAGCCCAGGGUGCUAGAUGGUGCCAGCUACUUCUGCACGGUUGCCAAUGGAAACCAGAUAACUGGACUCUGACUGAGGCAGACAUGCCACCUUACGUCUUCCAUGAGAAGGACCAUAGGUUUCUGGCACAGUCCAAGUGUCCAGAGGAUUGUCAACACUCGUAUCAAUGGGCCCGUAGCUCCUGGAUUCCAGGGAGCUUUUCAAAUUGUGUAGAUUUCAAAGCAAUAAGUGGAGGUAAACCAAAGCAGACACAGGCCCUCCAACAAGCUUGUCAAGUUUGUCUCAAUGUGGAGAAGCAAAACCAAACUGACAGAUUCUUAACAAUCUGGACCAGUUUUCAAGAUCUCUCUUACAGCCAAAGGAAUUUGAAAUUUACACCAAUCCAAGGUAAAGUAAUUUCCUCCUCGUGUUUCACAUGGGUAAAAUGGGCUGAGAAAAGUAAACCUAAAGUAAACCUAAAUCGAAAGUACAAGAGUACAUAUUUCUUAUCCUCUUGCCCUUGUCAUGGGCUGGAAAAUUCCAUCUCCAUCCAUUGCCUCUUAAAGAUCUCACUUGCUCAAUUUUGGAUGGAGUCUUACACUCCAAGCUAUAAAAGAUAA